rnacentral:rRNA from 1 species
AUUGAACGCUGGCGGCAGGCCUAACACAUGCAAGUCGAACGGUAACAGGAAGAGGGUUGCUUCUUUGCUGACGAGUGGCGGGCGGGUGAGUAGUGUCUGUGGAAAUGCAUGAUUGCGGGGGAUAACUCCUGGGGACGGUAGCUAAUAUCGCAUAAAGGCGCAAUACCAAAGAGGGGGACCUUCGUGGCUCUUGCCCUCUGCUGUGCCCAGAUGGGAUUAGCUAGUGGGUGGGGUAAAGGCUCACCUAGGCGACGAUCCCUCGCUGGUCUGAGAGGAUGAGCAGCCACACUGGAACUGAGACACGGUCCAGACUCCUACGGGAGGCAGCAGUGGGGAAUAUUGCACAAUGGGCGCAAGCCUGAUCCAGCCAUGCCGCGUGGAUGAAGAAGGCCUUCGGGUUGUAAAGUACUUUCAUUGGGGAGGAAGGGAGUAAAGUUAAUACCCUGCCGUAUUGACGUUACCCGAAGAAGAAGCACCGGCUAACUCCGUG